rnacentral:rRNA from 1 species
AGCGUACACGGUGGAUGCCCUGGCAGUCAGAGGCGAUGAAGGACGUGCUAAUCUGCGAUAAGCGUCGGUAAGGUGAUAUGAACCGUUAUAACCGGCGAUUUCCGAAUGGGGAAACCCAGUGUGAUUCGUCACACUAUCAUUAACUGAAUCCAUAGGUUAAUGAGGCGAACCGGGGGAACUGAAACAUCUAAGUACCCCGAGGAAAAGAAAUCAACCGAGAUUCCCCCAGUAGCGGCGAGCGAACGGGGAGGAGCCCAGAGCCUGAAUCAGUGUGUGUGUUAGUGGAAGCGUCUGGAAAGGCGCGCGAUACAGGGUGACAGCCCCGUACACAAAAAUGCACAUGCUGUGAGCUCGAUGAGUAGGGCGGGACACGUGGUAUCCUGUCUGAAUAUGGGGGGACCAUCCUCCAAGGCUAAAUACUCCUGACUGACCGAUAGUGAACCAGUACCGUGAGGGAAAGGCGAAAAGAACCCCGGCGAGGGGAGUGAAAAAGAACCUGAAACCGUGUACGUACAAGCAGUGGGAGCACAGAGCAAUCUGUGUGACUGCGUACCUUUUGUAUAAUGGGUCAGCGACUUAUAUUCUGUAGCAAGGUUAACCGAAUAGGGGAGCCGAAGGGAAACCGAGUCUUAACUGGGCGUUAAGUUGCAGGGUAUAGACCCGAAACCCGGUGAUCUAGCCAUGGGCAGGUUGAAGGUUGGGUAACACUAACUGGAGGACCGAACCGACUAAUGUUGAAAAAUUAGCGGAUGACUUGUGGCUGGGGGUGAAAGGCCAAUCAAACCGGGAGAUAGCUGGUUCUCCCCGAAAGCUAUUUAGGUAGCGCCUCGUGAAUUCAUCUCCGGGGGUAGAGCACUGUUUCGGCAAGGGGGUCAUCCCGACUUACCAACCCGAUGCAAACUGCGAAUACCGGAGAAUGUUAUCACGGGAGACACACGGCGGGUGCUAACGUCCGUCGUGAAGAGGGAAACAACCCAGACCGCCAGCUAAGGUCCCAAAGUCAUGGUUAAGUGGGAAACGAUGUGGGAAGGCCCAGACAGCCAGGAUGUUGGCUUAGAAGCAGCCAUCAUUUAAAGAAAGCGUAAUAGCUCACUGGUCGAGUCGGCCUGCGCGGAAGAUGUAACGGGGCUAAACCAUGCACCGAAGCUGCGGCAGCGACACUAUGUGUUGUUGGGUAGGGGAGCGUUCUGUAAGCCUGUGAAGGUGUGCUGUGAGGCAUGCUGGAGGUAUCAGAAGUGCGAAUGCUGACAUAAGUAACGAUAAAGCGGGUGAAAAGCCCGCUCGCCGGAAGACCAAGGGUUCCUGUCCAACGUUAAUCGGGGCAGGGUGAGUCGACCCCUAAGGCGAGGCCGAAAGGCGUAGUCGAUGGGAAACAGGUUAAUAUUCCUGUACUUGGUGUUACUGCGAAGGGGGGACGGAGAAGGCUAUGUUGGCCGGGCGACGGUUGUCCCGGUUUAAGCGUGUAGGCUGGUUUUCCAGGCAAAUCCGGAAAAUCAAGGCUGAGGCGUGAUGACGAGGCACUACGGUGCUGAAGCAACAAAUGCCCUGCUUCCAGGAAAAGCCUCUAAGCAUCAGGUAACAUCAAAUCGUACCCCAAACCGACACAGGUGGUCAGGUAGAGAAUACCAAGGCGCUUGAGAGAACUCGGGUGAAGGAACUAGGCAAAAUGGUGCCGUAACUUCGGGAGAAGGCACGCUGAUAUGUAGGUGAAGCGACUUGCUCGUGGAGCUGAAAUCAGUCGAAGAUACCAGCUGGCUGCAACUGUUUAUUAAAAACACAGCACUGUGCAAACACGAAAGUGGACGUAUACGGUGUGACGCCUGCCCGGUGCCGGAAGGUUAAUUGAUGGGGUUAGCGCAAGCGAAGCUCUUGAUCGAAGCCCCGGUAAACGGCGGCCGUAACUAUAACGGUCCUAAGGUAGCGAAAUUCCUUGUCGGGUAAGUUCCGACCUGCACGAAUGGCGUAAUGAUGGCCAGGCUGUCUCCACCCGAGACUCAGUGAAAUUGAACUCGCUGUGAAGAUGCAGUGUACCCGCGGCAAGACGGAAAGACCCCGUGAACCUUUACUAUAGCUUGACACUGAACAUUGAGCCUUGAUGUGUAGGAUAGGUGGGAGGCUUGGAAGUGUGGACGCCAGUCUGCAUGGAGCCGACCUUGAAAUACCACCCUUUAAUGUUUGAUGUUCUAACGUUGACCCGUAAUCCGGGUUGCGGACAGUGUCUGGUGGGUAGUUUGACUGGGGCGGUCUCCUCCUAAAGAGUAACGGAGGAGCACGAAGGUUGGCUAAUCCUGGUCGGACAUCAGGAGGUUAGUGCAAUGGCAUAAGCCAGCUUGACUGCGAGCGUGACGGCGCGAGCAGGUGCGAAAGCAGGUCAUAGUGAUCCGGUGGUUCUGAAUGGAAGGGCCAUCGCUCAACGGAUAAAAGGUACUCCGGGGAUAACAGGCUGAUACCGCCCAAGAGUUCAUAUCGACGGCGGUGUUUGGCACCUCGAUGUCGGCUCAUCACAUCCUGGGGCUGAAGUAGGUCCCAAGGGUAUGGCUGUUCGCCAUUUAAAGUGGUACGCGAGCUGGGUUUAGAACGUCGUGAGACAGUUCGGUCCCUAUCUGCCGUGGGCGCUGGAGAACUGAGGGGGGCUGCUCCUAGUACGAGAGGACCGGAGUGGACGCAUCACUGGUGUUCGGGUUGUCAUGCCAAUGGCACUGCCCGGUAGCUAAAUGCGGAAGAGAUAAGUGCUGAAAGCAUCUAAGCACGAAACUUGCCCCGAGAUGAGUUCUCCCUGACUCCUUGA